rnacentral:rRNA from 1 species
GNACGAUGAACCUCACUUGUGGGGGGAUUAGUGGCGAACGGGUGAGUAACACGUGAGUAACCUGCCCUUGACUCUGGGAUAAGCCUGGGAAACCGGGUCUAAUACUGGAUACGACCUUCUGGCGCAUGCCAUGUUGGUGGAAAGCUUUUGUGGUUUUGGAUGGACUCGCGGCCUAUCAGCUUGUUGGUGGGGUAAUGGCCUACCAAGGCGACGACGGGUAGCCGGCCUGAGAGGGUGACCGGCCACACUGGGACUGAGACACGGCCCAGACUCCUACGGGAGGCAGCAGUGGGGAAUAUUGCACAAUGGGCGCAAGCCUGAUGCAGCGACGCCGCGUGAGGGAUGAAGGCCUUCGGGUUGUAAACCUCUUUCAGUAGGGAAGAAGCCGGUCUUUUGGGUUGGUGACGGUACCUGCAGAAGAAGCGCCGGCUAACUACGUGCCAGCAGCCGCGGUAAUACGUAGGGCGCAAGCGUUAUCCGGAAUUAUUGGGCGUAAAGAGCUCGUAGGCGGUUUGUCGCGUCUGCCGUGAAAGUCCGGGGCUUAACUCCGGAUCUGCGGUGGGUACGGGCAGACUAGAGUGCAGUAGGGGAGACUGGAAUUCCUGGUGUAGCGGUGAAAUGCGCAGAUAUCAGGAGGAACACCGAUGGCGAAGGCAGGUCUCUGGGCUGUAACUGACGCUGAGGAGCGAAAGCAUGGGGAGCGAACAGGAUUAGAUACCCUGGUAGUCCAUGCCGUAAACGUUGGGCACUAGGUGUGGGGGACAUUCCACGUUUUCCGCGCCGUAGCUAACGCAUUAAGUGCCCCGCCUGGGGAGUACGGCCGCAAGGCUAAAACUCAAAGGAAUUGACGGGGGCCCGCACAAGCGGCGGAGCAUGCGGAUUAAUUCGAUGCAACGCGAAGAACCUUACCAAGGCUUGACAUGAACCGGAAUGAUGCAGAGAUGUGUCAGCCACUUGUGGCCGGUUUACAGGUGGUGCAUGGUUGUCGUCAGCUCGUGUCGUGAGAUGUUGGGGUUAAGUCCCGCAACGAGCGCAACCCUCGUUCCAUGUUGCCAGCGGGUUAUGCCGGGGACUCAUGGGAGACUGCCGGGGUCAACUCGRAGGAAGGGUGGGGACGACGUCAAAUCAUCAUGCCCCUUAAG